rnacentral:misc_RNA from 1 species
UAAGGUAAGUGUUUUAUGGGGGCACUUUUUAAAUCGCAUAUCCACCUUGUGUGCAAUGUCAGUCGAUCUUCUUCAUGGAGAUCGACCAAACAUCAACCUUUAUUUUUUAACUCUUUGUCUGAAAAAUAUUAUGAAUAUAAAACAAUUCAAAAUA